UAGAGUUUGAUCCUGGCUCAGAUUGAACGCUGGCGGCAUGCCUUACACAUGCAAGUCGAACGGCAGCGGGUCCUUCGGGACGCCGGCGAGUGGCGAACGGGUGAGUAAUGCAUCGGAACGUACCCAGUAGUGGGGGAUAACUUACCGAAAGGUAAGCUAAUACCGCAUACGCACUGAGGUGGAAAGCAGGGGACCGCAAGGCCUUGCGCUAUUGGAGCGGCCGAUGUCGGAUUAGCUAGUUGGUGGGGUAAAGGCCUACCAAGGCGACGAUCCGUAGCGGGUCUGAGAGGAUGAUCCGCCACACUGGAACUGAGACACGGUCCAGACUCCUACGGGAGGCAGCAGUGGGGAAUUUUGGACAAUGGGCGCAAGCCUGAUCCAGCCAUGCCGCGUGAGUGAAGAAGGCCUUCGGGUUGUAAAGCUCAUUCGGCCGGGAAGAAAUCGUGGUGGCUAAUACCUGCCAUGGAUGACGGUACCGGACUAAGAAGCACCGGCUAAACUACGUGCCAGCCGCCGCGGUAAUUCA
rnacentral:rRNA from 1 species